AGCGAACGCUGGCGGCGUGCCUAACACAUGCAAGUCGAGCGAGAAAGUCCGCAAGGAUGAGUAAAGCGGCGCACGGGUGCGUAACACGUGGGUAAUCUGCCCUGAAGUCCGGAAUAACUCCCCGAAAGGGGUGCUAAUACCGGGUAAGACCACGGGAGCUUCGGUUCCUGCGGGAAAAGGUGGCCUCUGUACACAAGCUAUCGCUUCAGGAUGAGCCCGCGGCCCAUCAGCAGUUGGCGGGGUAACGGCCCACCAAGGCUACGACGGGUAGCUGGUCUGAGAGGACGAUCAGCCACACUGGAACUGAGACACGGUCCAGACUCCUACGGGAGGCAGCAGUGGGGAAUCUUGCGCAAUGGGCGAAAGCCUGACGCAGCAACGCCGCGUGUGUGAUGAAGGUUUUCGGAUCGUAAAGCACUGUCGGGAGGGACGAAUAAGGUCACGGCUAAUAUCCGUGGUCGAUGAC
rnacentral:rRNA from 1 species